UCCUUUUGAUAUCGAAUUUUCUUUCUUUUCUAUUCCCUUACCUCAACACAGAUAACAUCAUGUGGGGACUGGGGACAUUACCCGAUGGAUUUCCGGCAGCCGCCUAUGCAGCCUAUGCAGCCGGACGUGGUUACUCUGGAUAUCCAAGCUUCGGUUUGCCUUACCCUGCUGCUGGUGUAAUGAGUGUUGUAC